AGAGGUCCCUGCUGACAAGAAGCGCAGAUCGCAAAGCUGGAGGCUCAAGCCUUUCAGCAGGGGGAAUGGAGGAGGAAGUCGUGUUGGUGUCUACAGCGGAGGUGCCGUGUAGCCACAUGUGGCCUGUCGCUACUGCAUUGGAGAGUGCAACUCUAAUAGAAAUAGAACACGUUGUGGAAGACAUCCUUAGUAAUGACAGAUGCUAUCGCAAAAAAAAAAAAGAAGACCAAAAGGGCAAAUGAUGCUUUAGGUAGGGCGGGUCAGGCUGGGAAGACCUCAGCGAGGACUGAGGGAAGUGAGCCAUCAGGGCAAGGAAGGAUUGAGUCGUGCAGGCACAGUGAGCAAGCUUGGCCUAUUCGAAGAGCUCCAGGGAGACCCAACGGCUGCACCAAAGAGCAUCUAAGGACAUUUUAUCUGUCGAAGUUCUGGGGCCGCCCCCUCAGUGCAUCGUUGUGGAGGUUUGUAAUGAAGUGUGCCAGGCUCUCAGGAGGGACUGCGCCGAGGAGGUAGCCUGAGGAGUGCUGGUGAGCCACAGAAUUCCCGCAUGGCUGAAAUGGCUUUGGGCAGGUGGAAAUAAGGUGGCUUUACUGUUGCAGUUGUAAAAUUUUUUUUU